GACGAACGCUGGCGGCGUGCUUAACACAUGCAAGUCGAACGGAAAGGCCCUGCUUGCAGGGUACUCGAAUGGCGAACGGGUGAGUAACACGUGGGUGAUCUGCCCUGCACUUCGGGAUAAGCCUGGGAAACUGGGUCUAAUACCGGAUAGGAGCCAUUUUUAGUGUGAUGGUUGGAAAGUUUUUUCGGUGUAGGAUGAGCUCGCGGCCUAUCAGCUUGUUGGUGGGGUAAUGGCCUACCAAGGCGGCGACGGGUAGCCGGCCUGAGAGGGUGGACGGCCACAUUGGGACUGAGAUACGGCCCAGACUCCUACGGGAGGCAGCAGUGGGGAAUAUUGCACAAUGGGCGCAAGCCUGAUGCAGCGACGCCGCGUGGGGGAUGACGGCCUUCGGGUUGUAAACUCCUUUCGCUAGGGACGAAGCUUUUUGUGACGGUACCUAGAUAAGAAGCACCGGCUAACUACGUG
rnacentral:rRNA from 1 species